rnacentral:lncRNA from 1 species
UGCCCCUGAAAAAUGGAUGUUUCUCUUCGAGCUCCAUCCUGUACUAUUUACAUUACAACCCAACAAAAAGACGGAUUAUAAUAGAACAGAACAAAGGAUGUCGAGCCAAAAGCACCUUCAUUUCUACAUAAUGGAAGGUGGUGGGUUUUGACAUCCACAGCCGAUCAUGUCCUUCAAGUCGCACGUUGCUUUCUACCACAUCGUUUCAAACGAAGUUUUACCAUAACAUUCCUCUAGUUUGGAACAUUGAUUCAAUUAUGGAAUCAUGAAUAGUCAUUGGUUCAGUCGAUACAUAGUAAUCUAUCUAUACUUUUUCCUUCUAUAUGAAAUCAAUUUCCUUCUAUAUGAAUCUAUAUGAAAUAAAUAGAUAAUUUAGGAAGAAAAAGCCUCAACUCAAUAAGAAUUCAAAUUAACCCAUAUUGUAUGAAUACAAUAUAUUUUUACUUUUUUAUACUUUUAUUAAUAUUAAGCUUUUCUAUUCUAAUUAAUAAGAAAUUAAUAAUAUAAUUAAUAAUAAUAAUAUUACGAAUAUUAUAAAUAACACAAAUAAACUAAUCUUUUUGAAUCUGCCUUGCAUCUUCAAAUAACUCGAUAGAUCAAAUAACUCGAUAGAAUAGAUUCGCCAAUCUCACAGUUCUUCGAGUGCCAAUCUUAAGAAAUCAUUAAAAAUCAAAAGCAAGAAUCACAUUUUCUCCAAUAUUUGACUCUUAGAAAGAAGGUUGUUAAAAAAAAAAAAAAAGCAA